AUUCCAGCUCCAAUAGCGUAUAUUAAAGUUGUUGCAGUUAAAAAGCUCGUAGUUGGAUUUCUGGCAGGAGUGACUGACCACAAACUCUGUUUGUGAGUUGUGUCAUUCUGGCCAUCCUUGGUAAGAUCCUUUUUGGCAUUAAGUUGUCGGGAAGGGGAUGACCAUCGUUUACUGUGAAAAAAUUAGAGUGUUUAAAGCAGGCUUAUGCCGUUGAAUAUAUUAGCAUGGAAUAAUAAGAUAGGACUUUGAGUCUAUUUUGUUGGUUUGAGAACCAAGGUAAUGAUCAAUAGGGACAGUUGGGGGUAUUCGUAUUCAGUUGUCAGAGGUGAAAUUCUUAGAUUUCCGGAAGACGAACUACUGCGAAAGCAUUUACCAAGGAUGUUUUCAUCA
rnacentral:rRNA from 1 species